rnacentral:rRNA from 1 species
UACGUAGGGGGCAAGCGUUGUCCGGAAUCAUUGGGCGUAAAGAGCGCGUAGGCGGUCCGGUAAGUCCGCUCUGAAAGUCCGGGGCUCAACCCCGGGAGGCGGGCGGAUACUGUCGGGCUAGAGUCCGGAAGAGGCGAGUGGAAUUCCUGGUGUAGCGGUGAAAUGCGCAGAUAUCAGGAAGAACACCAAUGGCGAAAGCAGCUCUCUGGGACGGUACUGACGCUGAGACGCGAAAGCGUGGGGAGCGAACAGG